rnacentral:rRNA from 1 species
UACGUAGGGUGCGAGCGUUGUCCGGAAUUAUUGGGCGUAAAGAGCUUGUAGGCGGUUUGUCGCGUCUGCUGUGAAAAUCCGGGGCUCAACCCCGGACUUGCAGUGGGUACGGGCAGACUAGAGUGUGGUAGGGGAGACUGGAAUUCCUGGUGUAGCGGUGAAAUGCGCAGAUAUCAGGAGGAACACCGAUGGCGAAGGCAGGUCUCUGGGCCGUUACUGACGCUGAGGAGCGAAAGCGUGGGGAGCGAACAGG